UGUUUUUUGUGUUUCUUUUUGUGUUUGUGCCAAGUAAAACCUUUAUGACUAGUUUGGUGAUGGUUGUUUGAUCUUGGUGAAAAAGACAGAAACUUUUCACUCACGAAGUUAUUUUUCAUUUUUAUCCAGAAAGUGCUUUUGAGUUGAUUGUUUUUGCUGCUGGUUGAUAUGAAAAUUCCCCAAAUUGUCAUAAUUUUUCAGAGUUUGUGAGAUAGCAAAAGUAUAAGAAGUAUACAGAUUGCUUUAGACUGGUCUGUUUUUGACAGAUUCUGUUUUUGUUGUGUUGAUUGCUUAUUUUGUUGAAACUAUGUAUAGUAUCGGG
rnacentral:lncRNA from 1 species